rnacentral:misc_RNA from 1 species
GGAACUUUAUGUGAUUUGCUAACAUGACAUGCAUUGCAAGGAAUAGAAGAUAAAUUAUCUUUAUUGAAAGGUAACUUAUUGUGAGUAAUAACAUGACGAACUAGACGAGUAUUGACAUGCCCUAAAUAUAGGACUAAAAUUAUUGGACAAAUGAAGAGGCAUGAUAUACAAUUCAUAUUUACUCUGGCCUUGAUGAAGAAUCCACUUCGUAGGUAUAUCCUUAACAAA